UUCACUAAACUCCUGAGCGAGAUCAACCGAGCCGGAGCUCCGUACACACUGAGUCUGGCCAGUCGGCUCUAUGGAGAGCAGUCCUACACGUUCAUCGAGAAAUUCAUUAGUGACACAAGAAGCCUGUACGAGGCUGAGCUGGAGACGGUGGACUUCACCAGUAAUGCAGACGCGGCUCGUGUCAACAUCAACAGCUGGGUGCAGAAGCAGACACAAGAGAAGAUCCAGGAUCUUCUGUCUGAGGGCGAUGUGGAUUCUCUGACCAGACUGGUGCUGGUGAACGCUAUCUACUUCAAGGGCAGCUGGGAGACGAAGUUCAGAGAGGAACACACCAGAGAGCAGCAGUUCAACCUCA